rnacentral:rRNA from 1 species
AUUCCAGCUCCAAUAGCGUAUAUUAAAGUUGUUGCAGUUAAAAAGCUCGUAGUUGGAUUUCUGGCGGGAGCGAUCGGUCCUUCACUCAGUGUUGGAACCUGAUUGUCUCCUGCCAUCCAUGGAGAAAACUUAUCUGGCAUUAAGUUGUCGGGUAGGCAAUCUCCAUCUUUUACUGUGAAAAAAUUAGAGUGUUCAAAGCAGGCUUAUGCCGUUGAAUAUAUUAGCAUGGAAUAAUAAGAUAGGACUAUGGUACUAUUUUGUUGGUUUGUGCACCAUGGUAAUGAUUAAUAGGGACAGUUGGGGGUAUUCGUAUUUAAUUAUCAGAGGUGAAAUUCUUGGAUUUAUGAAAGACGAACUUCUGCGAAAGCAUUUACCAAAGAUGUUUUCAUCG